CUUCUUUGUAGCUGCCAGACCUGCAAGCCUUAUCUGUGCUUGCUUUUGUUGCUCCAUAUUUUCCACCACUGCUGCCAGCAGAGACAGAGGUGGGAAGUUUGAGGCAUCUCUGCAGGAACACUCACACCAUAAGGACCAGACUUAUCAGUUGAGGAGCAGGUGUAUUCAAGGAGAUCAAAAGAUGCCUUAAAAUAUGUCUUGUCUGCCUGUUUCAGGAUUGCAGGUGAUACGGCACUCAACAAGAACAUCCACGAGUCUGUCAGCGCUCAGAUCCGGAAGAACUUUGCAAAAAGCAAAUGGAGACAAGCAUUUAACGCCACAGCAGUCGUGCGACACAUGCGGCGGUUACACCUCGGCAGCAGCCUGGACAACACAAGUGCCAGUGUCUCAGGCACACUCAGCCUCGCCACGCCACUGCCUGAUGCAACCACCCGGAAAGAUUGUAUGUCUCCAUCCACUCUCUGUAGUUUUGUUUCAUCUGCUUCUUCAGGCGUUUCGGCGGUAGGAGGGGACCGGAGACCCAGACCCACCACAGUGACCACAGUGCACACAGGGAGCAAGUGAGAGCCCGGGUGGCCAGGAGCAGGCAGGCAUAGGGCUGUGGAUUCCUCCAAGCCACCCCUCGCCCUGCCCCGCAUACUCGACGAAGGACUAGAAGAAAGAAGAUUUUUUUAUGGCCAUAUUUUAUACUGCAAUUCUGAAAUAUUUCAUUUAUCACAAACUGCAAGGACUCCAGGGGGAACGGAUCUAACAGUCUCUGGUGCUGUACAUAUAUAUACAUAUAUAUAAAUAUAUAUAUAUAUAUGUGAGUCUAGCAAUGUUCUAACUAAUGAACACGCAUUCUUAUCCCCAGUGAUUUACUCUUUUCUCAGUGUAGGUAACAGUAUAUGUUGUUGGGUUUUUGUUUUCGUUUUGUUUUCCAUUAACUACAAACAUCUCAACUGGAUUAUUUAAAUAGAAUAACUUUUCUGAGCAUUAUAUAUAUAUAUAUUUUUUCUUUUAAGAAGUACUUCCAGUAAUGUCUCUCCUCCCAGUUUGUGGGGGAUUAUGCUGUUUUGGUAGGUAGGAGUUGGCAUUAACUUUGCAGCACAUGAGGAUUGCAGUGGCGUGCCAUUCCUCGCUCCUCAGACUGGUCUGCAAGGCUUCAGCAGAGCUGCUGCUGCUCAAAGUAAGAAACUGCUGCUUUCCCUUCCCUCCUCCUCCUUGAAAGCCAUGGGCAGAGCUCAGUUGCCACCAGCCUGAUUCCUGCAGAGCUGUGAGCCUGCAGUACCUUUGUUUGAGAGAAGUUGGCACGUGGUGCCUUUGAGGAGCAGACCAGAGCUGAGCAAACAAAACAACAGAGUUUCAUACUCCAGCAAUUUCCCCCUUGAUAAUUCCUUCCUCUGUGCAUUCUGAGCAGAACAAAAGAAAAGGAAGAUGUGGGGCCCAAAGCAGUAGUUGUCCUCUGCCACCAACUCACUGUGCCAUCCUUGUGGAGGACAUUUAAUUCCCAGCCUCCCAGUUUU
rnacentral:lncRNA from 1 species